UACGUAGAGGGCAAGCGUUGUCCGGAAUUAUUGGGCGUAAAGAGCUCGUAGGCGGUGUGUCGCGUCGGCCGUGAAAACCUGCAGCUUAACUGUGGGCUUGCGGUCGAUACGGGCAUCACUGGAGUUCGGCAGGGGAGACUGGAAUUCCUGGUGUAGCGGUGAAAUGCGCAGAUAUCAGGAGGAACACCGGUGGCGAAGGCGGGUCUCUGGGCCGAUACUGACGCUGAGGAGCGAAAGCGUGGGGAGCGAACAGG
rnacentral:rRNA from 1 species